rnacentral:rRNA from 1 species
GAUGAACGCUGACAGAAUGCUUAACACAUGCAAGUCUUUGGCGAAGCUGUGCUUGCUCCGCCUAGCCAAGGCGGACGGGUGAGUAACGCGUAAGGAACUUGCCCUGCAGUCAGGGAUAACAGACGGAAACGACUGAUAAGACCUGGUAAAGUCAGGCGGACUCAUGUCCAGCCUGAUGAAAAGAGAUGCUGCAGGAGAGCCUUGCGUCCUAUUAGCUUGUUGGUGGGGUAACGGCCCACCAAGGCGAUGAUAGGUAGCCGGCCUGAGAGGGUGGACGGCCACAAGGGGACUGAGAUACGGCACUUACUCCUACGGGAGGCAGCAGUGGGGAAUAUUGGACAAUGGGGGCAACCCUGAUCCAGCAAUUCUGUGUGCACGAUGAAGGUUUUCGGAUUGUAAAGUGCUUUCAGCAGGGAAGAAAAAAAUGACGGUACCUGCAGAAGAAGCGACGGCUAAAUACGUG